rfam:Desulfitobacterium dichloroeliminans LMG P-21439, complete genome.
UGGGCAGUAUCAUUUAGAACUGCACCUUUUACUUGGAAUCCAAGUUAUUCAAUUAUUACUGCCUGUAUCCAUGUGGAAUAGGACAGAGGG